rnacentral:rRNA from 1 species
UCCUCUCUAAACUUUUGCAUAAAAGAAGGAAUUUUAAUUCAACAUCGAGGUCAUAAACUCACUUGUCAAUUUGGUCUUUCUAAGUGAAUUAAGCUGUUAUCCCUAAAGUAACUUAUUUCUUUUUUAGAAUUUCUAGGUAUUAAAACCUGUUAGUUUUUCUUUUUAAAAAAAGGUUUUUUUCUCACCGCCCCAGUGAAAUACUUUUCUUCUAUCUCUUGAAGAUAAAAUAUAAAGUUUUAUAGGGUCUUCUUGUCUAAAAGAUUUAUUUUAGCCUUCUUACUAAAAAGUAAAAUUUAUUUUUUUAGAUAAAAAAAAAUUCUCUUGGUUUACUCUUUCAUUCCAGUCUCAAAUUAAAAGA